GACGGGGGGGCAAGUGUUCUUCGGAAUGACUGGGCGUAAAGCGCGCGUAGGCGGCCCUGUAAGUCCGUUGUGAAAGUCGAAGGCUCAACCUUCGAAAGCCGAUGGAUACUGCAGGGCUAGAGUCCGGAAGAGGCGAGUGGAAUUCCUGGUGUAGCGGUGGAAUGCGCAGAUAUCAGGAGGAACACCAAUAGCGAAGGCAGCUCGCUGGGACGGUACUGACGCUAAGGCGCGAAAGCGUGGGGAGCGAACAGG
rnacentral:rRNA from 1 species